rnacentral:rRNA from 1 species
AUUGAACGCUGGCGGCAGGCCUAACCCAUGCAAGUCGAGCGAGCGGCGGACGGGUGAGUACUGUCUGGGAACCUGCCUGCUGGAGGGGGAUAACUACUGGAAACGGUAGCUAAUACCGCAUACCAUCAGAUGUGCCCAGAUGGGAUUAGCGAGUAGGUGGGGUAACGGCUCACCUAGGCGACGAUCCCUAGCUGGUCUGAGAGGAUGACCAGCGACACUGGAACUGAGACACGGUCCAGACGCCUACGGGAGGCAGCAGUGGGGAAUAUGGCACAAUGGGCGCAAGCCUGAUAGAGCCAUGCCGCGUGUGUGAAGAAGGCCUUCGGGUUGUAAAGCACUUUCAGCGGGGAGGCGUUACCCGCAGAAGAAGCACCGGCUAACUCCGGGCCAGCAGCCGCGGUAAUAC